GAACGAUUAGCUCAGUUGGUUAGAGCGCCUGCAUCACACGCAGUAGGUCGCAGGUUCGAAUCCUGCAUCGUUCACCA
rnacentral:tRNA from 1 species